rnacentral:lncRNA from 1 species
UUUUAUGGGGAAGAUCUAAAGAUUUGCUUGAGGGAAUCAAUGAAUUGUAGCACAUGAGGUAAAAAAAAUACAAUCUUGAUGAAUUGGGUUUGUUAGAUUUUCUUGUAUUAAGUGAAUGGAUAUUGUAUUUGCAUAAUAUUGGGAUGAGAACGAUCUUGAUGAAUUGGGUUUGCUAGAUUUUCUUGUAUUAAGUGAAUGGAUAUUAUAUUUGAUUAAUAGUGGGAUGAGAACAAUCUUGAUGAAUUGGGUUUGCUAGAUUUUCUUUUAUUAAGUGAAUGGAUAUUGUAUUCGUAUAAUAUUGUGAUGAGAUGAUUUAAGUGAAGUAACGCAGUCAGUGAGGAUUCAUAUAGCCGACCCCAACUUAUUUAGGAC